rnacentral:rRNA from 1 species
UGAAUACGAGAUGCUACGGCGUCGAAGCAGUCUAUGUCAUACUUCCAAGAAAAGCUCGCACUGUCAUAAACAAAUAAUGCCUGUACCAUAACCGACACAGGUGGGUAGGUAGAGUAUACUAAGGGGCGCGAGAUAACUCUCUCUAAGGAACUCGGCAAAAUGACUCCGUAACUUCGGGAGAAGGAGUGCCUUAUUUAUAAGGUUGCAAUAACAAGAUCCAAGCAACUGUUUAUCAAAAACACAGGUCUCCGCUAAGUCGUAAGACGAUGUAUGGGGGCUGACGCCUGCCCAGUGCCAGAAGGUUAAAGAAGUUGGUUAGCAUUCGCGAAGCUGAUAACUGAAGCCCUGGUGAACGGCGGCCGUAACUAUAACGGUCCUAAGGUAGCGAAAUUCCUUGUCGGGUAAGUUCCGACCCGCACGAAAGGCGUAAUGAUUUGGAUACUGUCUCGGAGAGGGGCUCGGUGAAAUAGACUUGUCUGUGAAGAUGCGGACUACCUGCACCAGGACAGAAAGACCCUAUGAAGCUUUACUGUAACUUGAGAUUGAAAUUGGACUUUACUUGCGCAGUAUAGGUGGGAGGCGUUGAUAAUAUUCUUGCGGGAUUAUUUGAGCCAUCAGUGAGAUACCACUCUUGUAAUGUUAGAUUUCUAACUUUGUAUCAUUAUCUGGUCAAAGGACAGUUUCAGGCGGGCAGUUUGACUGGGGCGGUCGCCUCCUAAACGGUAACGGAGGCGCACAAAGGUUUCCUCUGAACGGGUAGAAAUCGUAUCUAGAGUGUAAAGGCAUAAGGAAGCUUGACUGUGAGACCUACAAGUCGAGCAGGGACGAAAGUCGGUCUUAGUGAUCUGACGGUGCUGAGUGGAAAGGCCGUCACUCAACGGAUAAAAGUUACUCUAAGGAUAACAGGCUGAUCUCCCCCAAGAGUUCACAUCGACGGGGAGGUUUUGCACCUCGAUGUCGGCACAUCGCAUCCUGGGGCGGUAGUACGUCCCAAGGGUUGGGCUGUUCGCCCAUGAAAGCGGUACGCGAGCUGGGUUCAGAACGUCGUGAGACAGUUCGGUCCAUAUCCGGUGUAGGCGUUAGAAUAUUGAGAGGAGCCUUCUUUAGUACGAGAGGACCGAGAAGGACAUACCUCUGGUGUACCAGUUAUCGUGCCAACGGUAAACGCUGGGUAGCUAUGUAUGGAGUGGAUAACCGCUGAAAGCAUCUAAGUGGGAAGCCCACCUCAAGAUAAGUAUUCUCAC